rnacentral:rRNA from 1 species
AUUGAACGCUGGCGGCAGGCCUAACACAUGCAAGUCGAACGAGGUCUUCGGACCUAGUGGCGGACGGGUGAGUAACACGUGGGAACGUGCCCUUUGGUACGGAAUAACCCAGGGAAACUUGAGCUAAUACCGUAUGUGCCCUUCGGGGGAAAGAUUUAUCGCCAUUGGAGCGGCCCGCGUCUGAUUAGCUAGUUGGUGAGGUAAUGGCUCACCAAGGCGACGAUCAGUAGCUGGUCUGAGAGGAUGACCAGCCACAUUGGGACUGAGACACGGCCCAAACUCCUACGGGAGGCAGCAGUGGGGAAUCUUGCGCAAUGGGCGAAAGCCUGACGCAGCCAUGCCACGUGGAUGAUGAAGGUCUUAGGAUUGUAAAAUCCUUUCACCGGUGAGGAUAAUGACUGUAGCCGGAGAAGAAGCCCCGGCUAACUUCGUGCCAGCCGCCGCGGUAAAAC